rnacentral:rRNA from 1 species
AUUGAACGCUGGCGGCAGGCCUAACACAUGCAAGUCGAACGAGUGGCGGACGGGUGAGUAAUGUCUGGGAAACUGCCUGAUGGAGGGGGAUAACUACUGGAAACGGUAGCUAAUACCGCAUACCAUCGGAUGUGCCCAGAUGGGAUUAGCUAGUAGGUGGGGUAACGGCUCACCUAGGCGACGAUCCCUAGUUGGGCGGAGAGGAUGACCAGGCACACGGGAACUGAGACACGGGCCAGACUCCUACGGGAGUCAGGAGGGGGGAAUAGUGCACAAUGGGCGCAAGGCUGAUGCAGCCAUGCCGCGUGUAUGAAGAAGGCCUGCGGGUUUUAAAGUACUUUCAGCGGGGAGGCGGUACCCGCAGAAGAAGCACCGGCUAACUCCGUGCCAGCAGCCGCGGUAAUAC